CCUACGGGUGGCAGCAGUGGGGAAUAUUGCACAAUGGGGGAAACCCUGAUGCAGCGACGCCGCGUGCAUGAAGAAGUAAUUCGUUAUGUAAAGCUCUAUCAGCAGGGACGAAAAUGACGGUAACUGAUUAAGAAGCCCCGGCUAACUACGUGCCAGCAGCCGCGGUAAUACGUAGGGUGCAAGCGUUAUCCGGAUUUACUGGGUGUAAAGGGAUCGUCAACGGAAGGGCAAGACUGGAGGUAAAGGCGGGGGCUCAACCCCCGGACUGCUCUGGAAACUGUACGGCUGGAGUGCAGGAGAGGUAAGUGGAAUUACUAGUGUAGGGGUGAAAUGCGUAGAUAUUAGGAGGAACACCAGUGGCGAAGGCGGCUUACUGGACCGUAACUGACGUUGAGGCUCGAAAGCGUGGGGAGCAAACAGGAUUAGAUACCCCGGUAGUC
rnacentral:rRNA from 1 species